UACAGAGGGGGCAAGCGUUGUUCGGAAUUACUGGGCGUAAAGGGCGCGUAGGCGGCCUUCUAAGUCAGACGUGAAAUCCCUCGGCUCAACCGGGGAACUGCGUCUGAGACUGGAAGGCUUGAAUCCGGGAGAGGGAUGUGGAAUUCCAGGUGUAGCGGUGAAAUGCGUAGAUAUCUGGAGGAACACCGGUGGCGAAGGCGGCAUCCUGGACCGGUAUUGACGCUGAGGCGCGAAAGCUAGGGGAGCAAACGGGG
rnacentral:rRNA from 1 species